GAUGAACGCUGGCGGCGUGCCUAAUACAUGCAAGUCGAGCGAACAGAUGAGGAGCUUGCUCCUCUGACGUUAGCGGCGGACGGGUGAGUAACACGUGGAUAACCUACCUAUAAGACUGGGAUAACUUCGGGAAACCGGAGCUAAUACCGGAUAAUAUAUUGAACCGCAUGGUUCAAUAGUGAAAGACGGUUUUGCUGUCACUUAUAGAUGGAUCCGCGCCGCAUUAGCUAGUUGGUAAGGUAACGGCUUACCAAGGCAACGAUGCGUAGCCGACCUGAGAGGGUGAUCGGCCACACUGGAACUGUGACACGGUCCAGACUCCUACGGGAGGCAGCAGUAGGGAAUCUUCCGCAAUGGGCGAAAGCCUGACGGAGCAAUGCCGCGUGAGUGAUGAAGGUCUUCGGAUCGUAAAACUCUGUUAUUAGGGAAGAACAAAUGUGUAAGUAACUAUGCACGUCUUGACGGUACUUAAUCAGAAAGCCACGGCUAACUACGUG
rnacentral:rRNA from 1 species